GAAGAAUCUGGAGACAGGUGGCUGCAUGGCUGUCGUCAGCUCGUGUCGUGAGAUGUUGGGUUAAGUCCCGCAACGAGCGCAACCCUUGCCUUUAGUUGCCAGCAGUUCGGCUGGGCACUCUAAAGGGACUGCCGGUGUUAAACCGGAGGAAGGUGGGGAUGACGUCAAGUCCUCAUGGCCUUUAUGACCAGGGCUACACACGUACUACAAUGGCCGAUACAAAGGGCAGCGACACUGCGAGGUGAAGCCAAUCCCGUAAAAUCGGUCUCAGUCCGGAUUGGAGUCUGCAACUCGACUCCAUGAAGUUGGAAUCGCUAGUAAUCGUGGAUCAGCAUGCUACGGUGAAUACGUUCCCGGGCCUC
rnacentral:rRNA from 1 species